CAGCCCUAAACGAUGCGCGUUAGGUGUAUCGGUGACCACGAGUCACCGAGGUGCCGAAGGGAAACCGUGAAACGUGCCGCCUGGGAAGUACGGUCGCAAGGCUGAAACUUAAAGGAAUUGGCGGGGGAGCACCACAACGGGUGGAGCUUGCGGUUUAAAUUUGGAUUCAACGCCGGAAAUACUUACCGGGACCGACAGCAACAUGAAGGCCAGGCUGAAGACUUUGCCGGAUUAAGCUGAGAGGAGGUGCAUGGCGUAGUCGUGU
rnacentral:rRNA from 1 species